rnacentral:rRNA from 1 species
GCCCUACGGGAGGCAGCAGUGGGGAAUCUUCCGCAAUGGGCGAAAGCCUGACGGAGCAACGCCGCGUGAUCGAAUGAAGGCCUUCGGGUUGUAAAGAUCUGUUGACAGGGACGAAUAAGCAAUGCGAAUAGUUUUGUGUAUGACGGUACCUGUUUAGAAAGCUCCGGCUAACUACGUGCCAGCAGCCGCGGUAAUACGUAGGGAGCAAGCGUUGUUCGGAAUGACUGGGCGUAAAGGGUGCGUAGGCGGUUGUACAAGUUAGAAGUGAAAUACCCAGGGCUUAACUCGGGUGCUGCUUCUAAAAC